rnacentral:pre_miRNA from 12 species
UCUGGGUUGUGCAAAAGUGCUUAUAGUGCAGGUAGAACUUAGACCUACUGCACAGUAAGCACUUCCUGCAUCAUCAAGG